rnacentral:rRNA from 1 species
GGGAUGAUGUCAAGUCAGCAUGACCUUUAUAUCCAGGGCUACACACACGCUACAAUGGUCUGUACAAUGGGUAGCCAAGCCGCGAGGCGGAGCCAAUCCUGAAAGCAGGCCUCAGUUCAGAUUGCAGUCUGCAACUCGACUGCAUGAAGCCGGAGUUGCUAGUAACCGCAGGUCAGCAAUACUGCGGUGAAUACGUUCCCGGGUCUU